CUACGGGAGGCUGCAGUCGAGAAUCUUCGGCAAUGGACGCAAGUCUGACCGAGCGACGCCGCGUGCGGGAUGAAGGCCUUCGGGUUGUAAACCGCUGUCAGUUGGGAGGAAAUUCUUGGGGGUUCUCCCCCUUGAUUGACCUAUCUUCAGAGGAAGUGCGGGCUAAGUUCGUGCCAGCAGCCGCGGUAAGACGAACCGCACAAACGUUAUUCGGAAUCACUGGGCUUAAAGGGUGCGUAGGCGGUCAUGCAAGUUGGGUGUGAAAUCCCUCGGCUCAACCGAGGAACUGCGCUCAAAACUGCAUGACUUGAGGGAGAUAGAGGUGAGCGGAACUUAGGGUGGAGCGGUGAAAUGCGUUGAUAUCCUAAGGAACACCAGUUGCGAAAGCGGCUCACUGGGUCUCUUCUGACGCUGAGGCACGAAAGCUAGGGGAGCGAAGAGGAUUAGAUACCCGCGUAGUC
rnacentral:rRNA from 1 species